CAUAGUUCAACAUCUGUCAUUCUCUGCACUGUCCAGAUCAUAUGUGAUGCUGCAUACAUCAUUUCUAAUGUGGAGGCCACGUGGUCUGGGUCUGUUCAUGACUCCAGGAUUUAUGGAGAGUCUAACCUGAGCAACAGACUGCAGCGUGGAGAGUUUGAUGGCCUUCUGCUGGGUGACAGGGGUUACCAUGCCAACCCAGGCUGAUGACCUCAUACCCUGACCCUGAACCAGGCCCCCAACAGAACUUCUACCGGGCUCACUGCAGGACCAGAGCCCGGGUGGAGAUGACCAUAGGCCUGCUGAAAGCCCGUUUCCAGAGCCUACGUCUCCUCAGGGUGACCCCUGAGAGGGCCUGUGAUAUUACUGUGGCAUGUGUUGUUCUUCAUAAUAUUACCACCAUUAGAGGAGAGCAACACCCUGCCCUACAAACUGAAGACCCAGAUGAUGAGCCCAUCCACCUGCAGCUAUCCAGGACAGCAGAGCAGUCAGAGACACCGUAUGCAAUAAUCACUUUAGAGUUUAAGUCACCAUCAUCACCACCACAGCAAAUAAAGACAUGAUACACAUUUCA